rnacentral:sRNA from 1 species
CCAGUACGAAUAAGUAACAUGCAUUGACUAAUAAGUAGUAAGUAAUUAGGUCUGAAUGAUGACUGCAUUUUGCAGUGUGGGAGAAAUGUGAUGCAAUUUAAAAAGUAAUGAAAAUACAUAAAUACAUAUAUAUGUAUAGAUUUUGAUAUUGUUACAGCAUUGUUGCGGUGCAGUUUUGGGUGCGGUUUAUAUCACCAUUCAUGGUCUAAAGCAAUUUUUGUCAUUUACAAUUUCAUUCUCAAGAUGAGUAUAAGAUAGU